rnacentral:misc_RNA from 1 species
UUGAGGGAGAGUUGGGUC